rnacentral:rRNA from 1 species
UACGUAGGGAGCAAGCGUUGUCCGGAAUCAUUGGGCGUAAAGCGCGCGUAGGCGGCCCCGUAAGUCCGCUGUGAAAGUCAAAGGCUCAACCUUUGAAAGCCGGUGGAUACUGUGGGGCUAGAGUACGGAAGAGGCGAGUGGAAUUCCUGGUGUAGCGGUGGAAUGCGCAGAUAUCAGGAGGAACACCAAUAGCGGAAGGCAGCUCACUGGGACGGUAUUGACGCUGAGACGCGAAAGCGUGGGGAGCAAACAGG